GAAACGACUGCUAAGACUGGAUAGGAGACAAGAAGGCAUCUUCUUGUUUUUAAAAGACCUAGCAAUAGGUAUGCUUAGGGAGGAGCUUGCGUCACAUUAGUUAGUUGGUGGGGCAAAGGCCUACCAAGACUAUGAUGUGUAGCCGGGCUGAGAGGUUGAACGGCCACAUUGGGACUGAGACACGGCCCAAACUCCUACGGGAGGCAGCAGUAGGGAAUUUUCGGCAAUGGAGGAAACUCUGACCGAGCAACGCCGCGUGAACGAUGAAGUAUUUCGGUACGUAAAGUUCUUUUAUUAGGGAAGAAUAAAUGAUGGAAAAAUCAUUCUGACGGUACCUAAUGAAUAAGCCCCGGCUAACUAUGUGCCAGCAGCCGCGGUAAUACAUAGGGGGCAAGCGUUAUCCGGAAUUAUUGGGCGUAAAGGGUGCGUAGGCGGUUAAAUAAGUUUAUGGUCUAAGUGCAAUGCUCAACAUUGUGAUGCUAUAAAAACUGUUUAGCUAGAGUAAGAUAGAGGCAAGUGGAAUUCCAUGUGUAGUGGUAAAAUGCGUAAAUAUAUGGAGGAACACCAGUAGCGAAGGCGGCUUGCUGGGUCUUUACUGACGCUGAGGCACGAAAGCGUGGGGAGCAAACAGGAUUAGAUACCCUGGUAGUCCACGCCGUAAACGAUGAGUACUAAACGUUGGGUAAAACCAGUGUUGAAGUUAACACAUUAAGUACUCCGCCUGAGUAGUACGUACGCAAGUAUGAAACUUAAAGGAAUUGACGGGACUCCGCACAAGCGGUGGAUCAUGUUGUUUAAUUCGAAGGUACCCGAAAAACCUCACCAGGUCUUGACAUGCUUCUGCAAAGCUGUAGAAACACAGUGGAGGUUAUCAGUUGCACAGGUGGUGCAUGGUUGUCGUCAGCUCGUGUCGUGAGAUGUUGGGUUAAGUCCCGCAACGAGCGCAACCCUUAUUGUUAGUUACCAGCACGUAAUGGUGGGGACUUUAGCAAGACUGCCAGUGAUAAAUUGGAGGAAGGUGGGGACGACGUCAAAUCAUCAUGCCCCUUAUGACCUGGGCUACAAACGUGAUACAAUGGCUGUUACAAAGGGUAGCUGAAGCGCAAGUUUUUGGCGAAUCUCAAAAAAACAGUCUCAGUUCGGAUUGAAGUCUGCAACUCGACUUCAUGAAGUUGGAAUCGCUAGUAAUCGCGAAUCAGCAUGUCGCGGUGAAUACGUUCUCGGGGUUUGUACACACCGCCCGUCAAA
rnacentral:rRNA from 1 species